CGGCUUACACAUGCAGUCGAGCGGGGNGAGGUAGCUUGCUACUGGACCUAGCGGCGGACGGGUGAGUAAUGCUUAGGAAUCUGCCUAUUAGUGGGGGACAACAUCUCGAAAGGGAUGCUAAUACCGCAUACGUCCUACGGGAGAAAGCAGGGGAUCUUCGGACCUUGCGCUAAUAGAUGAGCCUAAGUCGGAUUAGCUAGUUGGUGGGGUAAAGGCCUACCAAGGCGACGAUCUGUAGCGGGUCUGAGAGGAUGAUCCGCCACACUGGGACUGAGACACGGCCCAGACUCCUACGGGAGGCAGCAGUGGGGAAUAUUGGACAAUGGGCGCAAGCCUGAUCCAGCCAUGCCGCGUGUGUGAAGAAGGCCUUAUGGUUGUAAAGCACUUUAAGCGAGGAGGAGGCUACUUUAGAUAAUACCUAGAGAUAGUGGACGUUACUCGCAGAAUAAGCACCGGCUAACUCUGUGCCAGCAGCCGCGGUAAUACAGAGGGUGCAAGCGUUAAUCGGAUUUACUGGGCGUAAAGCGCGCGUAGGCGGCUAAUUAAGUCAAAUGUGAAAUCCCCGAGCUUAACUUGGGAAUUGCAUUCGAUACUGGUUAGCUAGAGUGUGGGAGAGGAUGGUAGAAUUCCAGGUGUAGCGGUGAAAUGCGUAGAGAUCUGGAGGAAUACCGAUGGCGAAGGCAGCCAUCUGGCCUAACACUGACGCUGAGGUGCGAAAGCAUGGGGAGCAAACAGGAUUAGAUACCCUGGUAGUCCAUGCCGUAAACGAUGUCUACUAGCCGUUGGGGCCUUUGAGGCUUUAGUGGCGCAGCUAACGCGAUAAGUAGACCGCCUGGGGAGUACGGUCGCAAGACUAAAACUCAAAUGAAUUGACGGGGGCCCGCACAAGCGGUGGAGCAUGUGGUUUAAUUCGAUGCAACGCGAAGAACCUUACCUGGCCUUGACAUAGUAAGAACUUUCCAGAGAUGGAUUGGUGCCUUCGGGAACUUACAUACAGGUGCUGCAUGGCUGUCGUC
rnacentral:rRNA from 1 species